rnacentral:rRNA from 1 species
UAGGGAAUCUUCGGCAAUGGACGAAAGUCUGACGGAGCAACGCCGCGUGAGUGAAGAAGGAUUUCGGUUCGUAAAACUCUGUUGUUAGGGAAGAAAAAAUGUAUAGUAACUAUAUACAAAAGAGACGGUACCUAACCAGAAAGCCACGGCUAACUACGUGCCAGCAGCCGCGGUAAUACGUAGGUGGCAAGCGUUGUCCGGAAUUAUUGGGCGUAAAGCGCGCGCAGGUGGUUUAGAAAGUCUGAUGUGAAAGCCCACGGCUCAACCGUGGAGGGUCAUUGGAAACUAAUAAACUUGAGUGCAGGAGAGAAAAGUGGAAUUCCUAGUGUAGCGGUGAAAUGCGUAGAGAUUAGGAGGAACACCGGUGGCGAAAGCGGCUUUUUGGCCUGCAACUGACACUGAGGCGCGAAAGCGUGGGGAGCAAACAGG